UCGUACACCUACAUCGCCGAUAGCCAUCAAUCCAAAAAGAAGUGAUACGCUUGAUGUCCAUCACAACUCAACCGCAUGCUGCGCGUUCCGGGGCGUUGAGAUGUCUGAGAUCGCCUCGAUCCGCGCGCCUCUGACAUCUUUGACAGGUCAAACCCACCGAAAACCCAAAACCUCAAAACGGUCAAAUCAAACGGUUGCUCAAAACGUUUACGGACGGUAUUUCGAGAUCUCAAAUCAAACAUCAAACAUAAUUAUACAUUUUCACCUGCGCGCGCCGACCAGCGUUCGAUACGUCUAAUUAUGAGCCGGAAAAUAAAAGAGUUACUGAAGAUGAGUUUGACGUGUGCCAGCAACAAAGAAAUUACAAUCGUAUAAAGAAACAAAACAAAAUUAAAAGAAGACAAGUUGUAAACCAAGAUUGGAGUUUGAUCAUAGUCUCUAGAUUUUCUUUCAUCUUCGGAUCGAGUUUGAAUCUCUUGAAUGUUGAGGCUUGAGAGUCGGGAGAAGAACGAAGCUUAUAGGGGAUGCGACAGGAUGAAUGCCAAGGACACAAUGCACAAGGAGUAUAAAGUGGCGGCGGCGGCUGCGGAGUUCGAUCGAAAGCUGAUCAAAAGAAGCCGAGAGACAAACAAAAAAUCCUCACCCGAAAACUACCGGAAUUAAUAGCCUGAAAGCCGC